rnacentral:rRNA from 1 species
GACGAACGCUGGCGGCGUGCUUAACACAUGCAAGUCGAACGGUGAACGAGGGAGCUUGCUCCCUCCGGAUCAGUGGCGAACGGGUGAGUAACACGUGAGCAAUCUGCCCCGAACUCUGGGAUAAGCGUUGGAAACGACGUCUAAUACCGGAUACGACGCUGGAGGGCAUCCUCUCCUCGUGGAAAGAACUUCUGUUGUGGAUGAGCUCGCGUCCUAUCAGCCUGUUUGUGAGGUGACGGCUCACCAAGGCGACGGCGGGCAGCCGGCCUGAGAGGGUGACAGGCCACACUGGGACUGAGGCACGGCACAGACUGCUAAGGGAGGCAGCAGUGGGGAAUAUUGCACAAUGGGCGCAAGCCUGAUGAAGCAACGCCGCGUGAGGGAAGACGGCCUUCGGGUUGUAAACCUCUUUUAGCAGGGAAGAAGCGAAAGUGACGGUAACUUAAGAAAAAGCACCGGCUAACUACGUG